rnacentral:rRNA from 1 species
AUUGAACGCUGGCGGCAGGCCUAACACAUGCAAGUCGAGCGGUAGAGAGGUGCUUGCAUCUCUUGAGAGCGGCGGACGGGUGAGUAAUGCCUAGGAAUCUGCCUAGUGGUGGGGGAUAACGUUCGGAAACGGACGCUAAUACCGCAUACGUCCUACGGGAGAAAGCGGGGGAUCUUCGGACCUCGCGCCAUUAGAUGAGCCUAGGUCGGAUUAGCUAGUUGGUGAGGUAAUGGCUCACCAAGGCGACGAUCCGUAACUGGUCUGAGAGGAUGAUCAGUCACACUGGAACUGAGACACGGUCCAGACUCCUACGGGAGGCAGCAGUGGGGAAUAUUGGACAAUGGGCGCAAGCCUGAUCCAGCCAUGCCGCGUGUGUGAAGAAGGCCUCGGUUGUAAGACACUUCUAGCGAGGAGGAAGGGUUA